rnacentral:lncRNA from 1 species
GCCGCUUCAAGCUACAUCACACGAGGACUGAGCUCGGGAAGCAACAUCUUCCUGUCUCAGUGGAUUUGCGGCCCACAGCCCUCUGCCCCCAGCCUGCCUUGGGUGCAUGAACCCCAGCGCACCCAGCAGAGACAUGGAUUCCUCAGCCCAAGGCCGGGCCCUUCUGCAGACAGGAGUGGCUAUCGGCCCAGGCGUGGAGCAAGGUUUGAAUUCUCCCCUCCAGCCCCCAGUGAAGAGCCCUCAUCUUGUGCCAGAGAUUGUUAGAGUGGACAUUGUUGCAUCCUCACUCUCAACUUUUGGAGCACCAAUUAAAUACCGAAGCAUCAGCCCUAAUUGGGUACUCACAAGAUGCUUUUAGAGAAAGUACUCAAGCAGUACAUAACUGGAGGCUAAAUCUGGCAUACAGUGACUGUAACAAACCAUGACAUCUGUCACAGCUCCUCUUGGAUAAACCUAUAAUGAUUGCUCCGACCAGAGAAGAAGACAUCUGAAGUCAGUAACUGAAUAAUGCUAAUGAUACUUCAUAAACAGCACAGUUCAGACAUAAUGAUGCAUUUCUCUGAAGAAGGAUGCUGAUGUGCAGGGCCUGUCUAGCAGACAUUUCCCACCCAUCCGUUCCUCUGUCCGCAAACAUCCCUGUGAAGUGCUGCAGGGGAGAGCUCUCCUUUUACGCAGCCCGAACUGCAGCAGAGACCACAGAAUCUGGCUGGGGGAAGACAAGCGUCAAACAUGUCAAUAAAGAUGAUAUGAUUUCAUCUACA